CUCAUAGUGCUGAAGUAGGCUGAAUUUGUAGAGCUCAUUUCUCCUGAGUUUAACCAGAGAAAAAUUUGGACAAACACUGGGUUUGUCUUUCUGUUCAAUUUCACCGCUUGAGUAAUCUGAGGGUCUGUGAGGGUGCCGCCUUAACCCCCAACUGUACCACGGUGCUCCAACUUUGUACAAAGACUAUUUGCCAGUCAGCUUUAGAGUUGGCCGCUGCUGAAGCAUCCAUCCAGCUGAGAUGUCGGUGCCACAGUGCAUGGCUGAGCGCUAUGUCCCUCCUGGGGUGACCAUCUUCCUGGACUGCAGAGUGAACAGCACCCUCUGGAGUGCAGCUGGCACCUACAGGUCUGCCUGAGCAGGAAGCUUUAUACCAGUUUGUGAAUUAAGAAGUGGAGAAGAAUAUAAUGGCCAUUAUUCUGCUGUACUACAUUCUGUAGAAUUAAUUUUGUCAGGUGACAUAUAGGAAUACUCAUGACUAUACUAAUGAUGAAAACAUUGAAUUCUCUUAAGUGGACAGGCUUCUCUGGUUUCUCAGACCGUAAAGAAUCCACCUGCAAUGUGGGAGACCUGGGUUCGAUUUCUGGCCUGGGAAGAUCCCCUGGAGAAGGGAAC
ensembl:lncRNA